GACGAACGCUGGCGGCGUGCUUAACACAUGCAAGUCGAACGGAAAGGCCUGCUUUCCCUUGUGGAUUGCGGGUACUCGAGUGGCGAACGGGUGAGUAACACGUGAGUGAUCUGCCCCCAACUUGGGUAUAAGCCUGGGAAACUGGGUCUAAUUCCCGAUAGGACUGCAGGGUGGUGCCUGUGGUGGAAAACGAUUUUCUAGUGGUUGGGGAUGAGCUCGCGGCCUAUCAGCUUGUUGGUGGGGUAAUGGCCUACCAAGGCGGCGACGGGUAGCCGGCCUGAGAGGGUGGACGGCCACAUUGGGACUGAGAUACGGCCCAGACUCCUACGGGAGGCAGCAGUGGGGAAUAUCGCACAAUGGGCGGAAGCCUGAUGCAGCGACGCCGCGUGGGUGAUGACGGCCUUCGGGUUGUAAACUCCUUUCGACCGCGAGGAAGCCACCUGGUUGGAAGGGUGGUGACGGUAGUGGUAGAAGAAGCACCGGCUAACUACGUG
rnacentral:rRNA from 1 species